rnacentral:lncRNA from 10 species
CAGGGUGACGGGUGGCAGCCUGGGGCUGUGCAGAUGUGGGUGGCUGAGAAGGGCACUAGGGUGGGGGUGGCUGGAGGAAUUUUAAGUGCUGUGAUGAAAUGGGCACCCUUCUCUGCCCUCCAUCGCCAAGCCCUACACCUCUGCGAAGACUGUGACACAUAAAGUCCUGUGUCAACGAUCUGUGCCCGCAGAGAGAGCCUGCUCCAGCCUCUUUGCUACAGCCUUGAGUCUUCUGCUGAAGCUGUGGAGACUACCAAAUGGACUCGUCUAGAUUUCACAUGCAACGUGGCUCUGCCUUCCCUGAGCACUCUGGGCCUUUCCAUGGAGACAGAAUGAAUAGAUAAUGGUGAGUAGGGGGGAGCUAUAUUAAUUCAGAGAUUCCAGGAGGGGAUGAGGAAGAUCAAAUCAACAGCUGUGGAUACCUGGUUUGUGUGUGUGUGUGUGUGUUUAAGAACACUUUAUUCAAGAAUCUGGAAUUUACCUAAUGCUCAU